GAGAACUGAAAGGCUUUUUGAAGUCUUCGGAUGGAUAGAAGAACCCCUGAUGCCGUCGAGCCAAGAAAAGUUUCUAAGUUUAGCUAAUGUUGCCCGUACCGUAAACCGACACAGGUGGGUGGGAUGAGUAUUCUAAGGCGCGUGGAAGAACUCUCUUUAAGGAACUCUGCAAAAUAGCACCGUAUCUUCGGUAUAAGGUGUGGUUAGCUUCGUACUAGGAUUUACUCCGAAAGCGAAGAAACUUACAACAAAGAGUCCCUCCCGACUGUUUACCAAAAACACAGCACUCUGCUAACUCGUAAGAGGAUGUAUAGGGUGUGACGCCUGCCCGGUGCUCGAAGGUUAAUUGAUGGGGUUAGCAUUAGCGAAGCUCUUGAUCGAAGCCCGAGUAAACGGCGGCCGUAACUAUAACGGUCCUAAGGUAGCGAAAUUCCUUGUCGGUUAAAUACCGACCUGCAUGAAUGGCGUAACGAGAUGGGAGCUGUCUCAAAGAGGGAUCCAGUGAAAUUGUAGUGGAGGUGAAAAUUCCUCCUACCCGCGGCAAGACGGAAAGACCCCGUGGACCUUUACUACAGCUUGACACUGCUACUUGGAUAAGAAUGUGCAGGAUAGGUGGGAGGCUUUGA
rnacentral:rRNA from 1 species